UGUUUUUUCACAAUAUACUGAAAUUAUUUCUGUGCAGCGUUUUACAUUUUGUACCGUAUACUUUUGGAUCUAAUAUACAUUAUUUUACGCUUUGCUGACAAAAUUGAAUUUUUAUUCUUAAAAAAAAAAAAUGUCUAUGUUACCAUGUGUUAAGAAAUUAUGACGUUUCCUUAAAAACGUAGCACGCGGGUCAUCUCUCGACUCAUCUAAAUACUGAUUAUAGAAAAACCAAUAAUAAAAUAUCGCUUGCUACGCUCAAAAAUUAAUACAAAAAACAAGAACAAAAAAUGUAUUCUCUCAAGACGAUAGACUACGAACUAUUUUUUUUUUUCAAAUUGUGUAAUUAAUUCAAUUAUUAUGCCUGUAUUAUGAAUACUCCGCGAUAG